UAUAAGCCAGUUGUGUUAGUGAUUGAAACGGCAUCCUUUUUAAGAGGAACGAAUAAAAAGAUAUAGUGUAAAGCACGACUUUAA
rnacentral:sRNA from 1 species